rnacentral:rRNA from 1 species
AUUGAACGCUGGCGGCAUGCUUUACACAUGCAAGUCGGACGAGUGGCGAACGGGUGAGUAAUGUAUCGGACCGUACCGAGUAAGGGGGGAUAACUAAUCGAAAGAUUAGCUAAUACCGCAUAUUAUUCGAGCGGCCGAUAUCUGAGUAGCUAGUUGGUGGGGUAAAGGCCUACCAAGGCGACGAUCAGUAGCGGGUCUGAGAGGAUGAUGCGCCACACUGGAACUGAGACACGGCCCAGCCUCCUACGGGAGGAAGCAGUGGGGAAUUUUGGAAAAUGGGCGCAAGCCGGAUCCAGCCAGGCGGCGUGUCUGAAGAAGGCCUUCGGGUUGUAAAGGACUUUUGUCAGGGAAGCGGUACCUGAAGAAUAAGCACCGGCUAACUACGUGCCAGCAGCCGCGGUAAUAC